ACAGAAUGAAAAUUACCUCAGUUAUUUCAGUUGACUGGUGUGAGAUAACUGUGCCGACAGAAAAAUUGUGCACAUUAAGUUUAUUGUGAGUCAUUGUGGCACACAGUGAAACCCAUGUGCCAACAGCA